rnacentral:rRNA from 1 species
UACGUAGGUGGCAAGCGUUGUCCGGAAUUAUUGGGCGUAAAGCGCGCGCAGGCGGUCCUUUAAGUCUGAUGUGAAAGCCCACGGCUCAACCGUGGAGGGUCAUUGGAAACUGGAGGACUUGAGUACAGAAGAGGAAAGCGGAAUUCCACGUGUAGCGGUGAAAUGCGUAGAUAUCUGGAGGAACACCGGUGGCGAAGGCGGCAUUCUGGACCAUAACUGACACUGAGAGACGAAAGCCAGGGGAGCAAACGGG